CACUCCUACGGGAGGCAGCAGUGGGGAAUCUUGCGCAAUGGGCGAAAGCCUGACGCAGCCAUGCCGCGUGAAUGAUGAAGGUCUUAGGAUUGUAAAAUUCUUUCACCGGGGACGAUAAUGACGGUACCCGGAGAAGAAGCCCCGGCUAACUUCGUGCCAGCAGCCGCGGUAAUACGAAGGGGGCUAGCGUUGCGCGGAAUUACUGGGCGUAAAGGGAGCGUAGGCGGACAUUUAAGUCAGGGGUGAAAUCCCGGGGCUCAACCUCGGAGUUGCCUUUGAUACUGGGUGUCUUGAGGAUGAGAGAGGUGUGUGGAACUCCGAGUGUAGAGGGGAAAUUCGUAGAUAUUCGGAAGAACACCAGUGGCGAAGGCGACACACUGGCUCAUUACUGACGCUGAGGCUCGAAAGCGUGGGGAGCAAAAAGGAUUAGAUACCCUGGUAGUCCCAUG
rnacentral:rRNA from 1 species